UGAGAAAACGUGUCUCACG
rnacentral:snRNA from 1 species